GGCACGCCCUGUGACCAGGAACCCCACUCCUUGGUAGGCUGUCAUAGCAGCACCAUCCAGCUAGCUCAGCAAGCAGUCCCCUCACUGCCGGUCAACUGCAGAAUAAAGAAAUGGAGGCGGCUGAGUUACACAAAGGGAUGCCAGACAGUGGGGGAAACGAGCAGACCACAGCCACACACAGACACACAGGAACACCGCACAGGCAGUGCUGCAGAAGAAACCGGACACCUGUGCUGAGUGACUCCAGGAAAGUACCAGCCUGCGUGGAGGCCUCCUGGCCAGCUGGGCUUUUCACUGCUUUCGGUUUCAGCAGCUAGCCUGGUCUCUGUCCUUGACAUGUCUGAUCACCAGGUAAAGACUGGCUAAUACCUGCUGUGUCUUGUCUUUUUCCCUCCUGGAUACCUGGACUCACCAACUAGCCCUGCUGCUUCUAGGAGAUUUAAAGGGCCAGUACCAUAUUUCCCCAUUCUUUAUUUUUCACUUUUAAUCCUUUUGGAAGCCAGACAUUUAAGGUCUAGGAUAUUCAAAAGCAAGCAUAUAUAUGGGGGGGGGGGCGGAUUUAGAAAGGUACCACACAGAUCUUACAAGUACCUCUCAGACUGAUCCCUGGUGUGGAGACACCGUAUAACACAAACACACAUACACUGCAGCAAAUUCUAAAGAAGUGGCAGAAUCUGAUUUCCACAGCUACCACAUUAUAAGAUUCAAAUAUCCAUUUAAAUAAGUCACAAAGCGUACUAGAGACAGG
rnacentral:lncRNA from 1 species